rnacentral:rRNA from 1 species
UACGGAGGAUGCAAGCGUUAUCCGGAAUGAUUGGGCGUAAAGGGUCCGCAGGUGGCUGUGUAAGUCUGCUGUCAAAGAAUGAGGCUUAACCUUAUCAAGGCAGUGGAAACUACACAGCUAGAGUACGGUCGGGGUAGAAGGAAUUCCUGGUGUAGCGGUGAAAUGCGUAGAGAUCAGGAAGAACACCGGUGGCGAAAGCGUUCUGCUAGACCUGUACUGACACUGAGGGACGAAGGCUAGGGGAGCGAAUGGG